rnacentral:rRNA from 1 species
AUUGAACGCUGGCGGCAUGCUUUACACAUGCAAGUCGAGCGGAAAGGCCUCUUCGGAGGUACUCGAGCGGCGGACGGCUGAGUAACGCGUAGGAACAUACCCCAAAGUGAGGGAUAACUGCUCGAAAGAGUAGCUAAUACCGCAUGUGGUCUUCGGAUUAAAGCUUCGGCGCUUUGGGAAUGGCCUGCGUCUGAUUAGCUAGAUGGUGAGGUAAUGGCUCACCAUGGCGACGAUCAGUAGCUGGUCUGAGAGGAUGAUCAGCCAGACUGGGACUGAGACACGGCCCAGACUCCUACGGGAGGCAGCAGUAGGGAAUUUUCCACAAUGGGCGAAAGCCUGAUGGAGCAACGCCGCGUGCAGGAUGAAUGCCUUCGGGUUGUAAACUGCUUUUAUAUGUGGCGAAUAUGACGGUAGCAUAUGAAUAAGGAUCGGCUAACUCCGUGCCAGCCGCCGCCGUAACAC